UACGGCCGCAUCACAUUGAAACACAGGUUCCUGUAAAAUCACCAAAGUUAAGCAACAUUGAACCUGAUCAGUACCAAGAUGGGUGACUACUUGGGAAUACCAGGUGCUGUAA